rnacentral:lncRNA from 1 species
AUGGCUGCACGGACGUGGCCAAAAUACAUCAGGGGACAGAACGCCAGAGAACGGACCAGGCAUUGUUUGAUUUACAGCCCACACAAACCCAGAGACCAAGGAAGGAGGAAACCAGAGAUGUGGGCUACUGAGACAGAGAGAGGAAGCUACGGGGGAUCAGGGGCAGUGAAACACUGGGAGAUGUAGGGAUUUGAAAAUAACUUGUUCUCAUAUUACCCCUACAAGCCUACAAAUUAUCCCUGAUUAGAAGGUUUUUUUGUUCUGUUGUGUUGUGUUGUGUUUUGUUUUGUUUUUGACAGAAACCCUGAAGUUUAUAACUGUAACCACAGCAUGUGGCUUUGGUUAAAUUGUAAUUUUAAACCAGCCUAAAUUACUCGGUAUUCAGAAAGCAGGAAGGCUCUUCCUGCCUUGCCCCAUUGCAGGGCACCUUCAGCGUAAGGAGCUGGAGAGGUGAAGGCGUCUAAAGCACACAGAG